GAUAUUGUUACAAGUGUAUUUCCGUGUCUGAGGAGAAGACCAUUUCUGAAGCGCUUUGUUCUAUUAUUUUGAAGAGCUAGAGGAUUUCUAAGACAUUUGGAUUUGGUCCCAGCAAUAGAGAGUCUGAAAAGUUAGAUUGCAUAUGUAAUCUGAGAACACAGCCCUAUAGAGCUUUCAUCGGUGUACCAUGAAGGAAUGAGUGCUCGGAGAAAUUUCCAGAGGAGUGGCUGCUCUCUAGACAGUUUCACCCAGUCCUCAGAAUACUGAGGCAUUUCAUAAGGGGCAGAGCAAGGACACAGGAAGUAACUGGAAGAGAGUCAUCUGACUAUUAGGUCACAGAGCAGCAAAGCAGUCCAGGUAUGUCACCUAGCCACCAUGUGCAUGACCAAAGCCCUGAGGCUGCCAGUAAGAGAAAAGAACUACUUGAUCUUAAAGCAAGAACUAUGAAGGAAAGGUGAAGAAAGGAAGGAAAAUCCAUGAUAAUUCAUCAUAUAUCAUAAGACAUCAGCAUCUGGAUAUAAGAACCAUGCCAGGCACUGUGACUCUAAACAGAGAGCGAAGAAGUCCUCUACGAGCCCCAUGGGUUUACAGAAGUCUAUCAAUCUCUCUGUCCAUCUUCCGGAUCAUUAUUCAAGUUACUGUUCCCAAUUUUGCUGGGUAUAUGAGAUCUAGCCCAGCUCCGUAGAUCAUUUUUCUUCCUAGUGGAUUAGGAAUUUGUUCUCUUUAAAUUAUCUCUGAGCUAAUAUGCUGCUCAAAAAAGUAGUAGGAAUGUCAACAUCACCUGUGUUUGCUUUGCGUAUGUGUUUAUAUAUCUACCUCCCCACCCUUGUACUGUGAUUGCCAUAUGAGAACUUAAAGUUAUGAAUGGAACUAGUAGCAGAA